GGACUGUGACUGUGUAAGUCGCUCUGGAUAAGAGCGUCUGCUAAAUGACUAAAA
rfam:Salmo salar isolate Sally breed double haploid chromosome ssa18, whole genome shotgun sequence.